rnacentral:rRNA from 1 species
GCAUGGGGGAAACCCUGAUGCAGCGAUGCCGCGUGAGUGAAGAAGGCCUUUGGGUUGUAAAACUCUUUCGUCGGGGAAGAAAAUGACUGUACCCGAAUAAGAAGGUCCGGCUAACUUCGUGCCAGCAGCCGCGGUAAUAA